AAUAUUGGACAAUGGGCGAAAGCCUGAUCCAGCCAUGCCGCGUGUUUGAAGAAGGUCUUCGGAUUGUAAAGCACUUUAAGCUGGGAGGAAGGGGUUGAAGCUAAUACCUUCAAUCGUUUACGUUAUCAACCGAAUAACCACCGGCUAACUCUGCGCCAGCAGCCGCGGUAAUACAGAGGGUGCAAGCGUUAAUCGGAAUUACUGGGCGUAAAGCGCGAGUAGGUGGUUCAGUAAGAUGGAAGUGAAAUCCCCGGGCUUAACCUGGGAACUGCUUUCAUAACUGCUGAGCUAGAGUACGGUAGAGGGUAGUGGAAUUUCCUGUGUAGCGGUGAAAUGCGUAGAUAUAGGAAGGAACAACAGUGGCGAAGGCGACUACCUGGACUGAUACUGACACUGAGGUGCGAAAGCGUGGGGAGCAAACAGG
rnacentral:rRNA from 1 species